rnacentral:misc_RNA from 1 species
GAUGAAGAACGUAGCGAAAUGCGAUAAGUAGUGUGAAUUGCAGAAUUCAGUGAAUCAUCGAAUCUUUGAACGCACAUUGCGCCCCUUGGUAUCCCGAGGGGCAUGCCUGUUCGAGCGUCAUUUCACCACUCAAGCCUGGCUUGGUGUUGGGCGACGUCCUCUUUGGGGACGCGCCUCGAAACGCUCGGCGGCGUGGCACCGGCUUUAAGCGUAGCAGAAUCUUUCGCUUUGGAAGUCGGGGCCCCGUCUGCCGGAAGACCUGCUCGCAAGGUUGACCUCAGAUCAGGCAGGGAUACCCGCUGAACUUAAGCAUAUCAAUAAGCGGAGGA